UUUUCUUGUUCAUCCCAUAAGAGCACUCAGUUUCAUAACAAGAAACCGAGGGUUCUUCAUGUCUGGUUCAGACAUGAAAUUAACCAAAACAUUGGUCCAACUCAUGCAUUUGCCACAACAAAGAAGGCAGAUGUUGUAAAUUCUCCUCAGCAUCAACUCCACAUGCCAUCGUCCCUAUUCUUCAUCUCAUUACUUGGCAUAUAUAAUCUCUGGUUGUACUGUGGCUUUUUGGGGCAGGGAGACAGAGUGAACUAUAAAGGGUUUUAUACAAGCUGAGGAGUGGAGUUAAACUGGAAGGCAGUCUGCAUGUUUGUAUGGAAACAAUUCUUUCAUGAGUUGCAAUUCUGUUUGAUUCCAGAUGUAAAAAGCCACAGGGAGAGAAAGAUGCAUAUCAGUCUUGACACCUAAAUCCAGGAUGAUGCUGCACUUGAAGUGCUAUCCUAACCUCACCGAAAAGACUACAUUUAGCAAAAGUAUUCUCUGUGCAUUUCUUUUCCUAAGCAAUAAUGAUUCUGAACAAGCAGGAUAGAAAUUCUUCCAGUUAUAUUAAAGGAUCCACAUACUUUUUUGGGGAAGAAAAGAUUUUCCCACACAACCAUCUCUGGGGAUUAAAAAGAGGAACAUAUGCAGUGAGCAGCAGUCCUUUGAGUAAAAAUGCCUUGUUGAUGUCAGAGGUCAGAGGAGAAUGGCGAGACUGCUUCAAGAUAAUAGGAAAGCAGAAAUAACUCAAAUAACCACUCAUAUCAACCAAGGUGUGUAGAAAGACAUCUCUGAAUAACACAUUGAAUCCUGUAGCAGAUGGUCUACAACAGCAGAAGACUACAUCAGGUCCCACUCCUGUCAACUAAGACAGCACAGGCUCACCAAAAUUGGAAAUUAGAAGACUGGAAAACAAUAUGAGCAACAUUCAGAAGGGAAGCACGUUUUCUUUCUGGCUGCUUCUCUGUGGUCUGACCAGAAACUAACUCAUCCUUAUUCUAGAAAGUGAACCACAACAUGUGGCAACAGAGCCCACAAACAUGAGCUCAUUCCUCUUGAGGGGAAACUAGCAACUGAAAAAAAACAGAGAUAGAAAGAGAGAAAGUCCCAGUGUUCCUCUCCACAUCCAUUUGUCUUUGGACUACAUUCCUGCUCCUCUUCCUCAAAUGAAAUGGUUAUCCCUGCAAACAAUGAGAAGACUGAGCUGCAGGAGCAUCUGCAGCAUGUGAAGUGGGACAUGAAACAAAAAUUGGCUCACAAGGUCGAGGUCAACUUCAGCAUCAGCACAUUCUUUGAGCCAAGGCGUUGGAGAGAAAGCAGGCGCGAACUGAAAGUGGCCCAAGUCUCUUCCUAACAUGCUUUUAUUUCCCACAUACUUCGUGAUCAGCAGGCCUCAGUAUGUUAUCAGGUAAUACUGAGACAAACAGCUGCUUACGUGCUGAAAUGUGGAUGUAUUAUUUGAGAAAAGCAUUACACAUGAAUCAGAAGAACAAUACAUUUUGACCAAUAGGCUAACAAUUAAACUCAUCAGUAUUAAAAAUACAGCUGGAAAGGUGAACUGUUCCUACUUUAAGAGCAAGUGCAAGUGCAGGCAGAUAUGUUGCAAAAUGUAUUUACCAUCAUAAUUAAAUACAAAAGAAAGAAUGUGCAGAAAAAA